AGAGUAUUUUACAACUAAUACUGGGUUGUAAAGUCUUAGUUGUAAGACUAAGUUAACGCUUUGGAAAACUGAUAUUCUAAUCCAAGUAGAUAAUUCACAAGUCUUAGUAUUGAUAGCAGCUCUUUCCAUGAUUUUCUUUUCCAGUUUACCCUUGCCUGUAAGCUCUCCUAAAGAAUGCUCACCAAUAGGAAGUAUGAUGAUCAUGAUCAACUAAUGAGAAUUAACUUAAUUGUGUUUUAUCUAUUAAUAAUGAGUGAUGACUCAGCCACAGUUACAGUGGCAACUGCUCUGGUGUUUUUCCCUCUCCAGUCAUGAUUAGCAUGUUAAUAACAGUACUAGUUCAUAGUACUGGGAUCAUUAAAUGAAUUGGUACAUUAUAUUAGAGUGAGCACUCAAUAGACAUUAAUAGUUUUACUCUUUUGCUUUUUGCUAUGGCUGCCAUUGCUGUGAUUAGCAGUGUUGGACACCAGCCUGCCUGACUGCCUCACCCUUCUGCUCCCUCUCCAGGAUCCCCUGUACUUCAGCCCAUUGCAGCUAUGAACUUGAAAGCAUGUGGGAUGCUUUCCUCAGGAAGGCUCAGACCUCACUUUACCAUUUCGGUACCAGAGACUCUGGGGUCUGGAGUUCUGUCUUGUCCAGCAAGAAAGUGGGAUGCAGGAUUAAAAAUGAGAGAGAGGCUGAUGUCCGGGAGAAGACAAGUGCCCCAAGUAAGGUCCGUGUUCCAUUUUUUAUUAGGAUCAGAAGGCUUACAAAUGUGGUGAUGUGUGUGCACAUAUAGACAAUGAAAUUGUGAACAUUAACUCAUGGGCAUGAGGGAAAGGGGGUUUUGAAGAUAUGCAGUGUUACGGGUUUGGGUUGAUACAAAACAGUUUACCUAAACUGGCCUAGGGGACAAGAAAGACAGAACAUGCUACCUCAGGGUCAACAAGGCACCUUUCUUUGGCUAAUUCAUUCCACUUUGGGCAAUUUCGCCCCUCAGCAGUCUUUAGACCUAUUUAUCUGUUUACCUAAUUUGGUCCUUCCUUGCUCUGAAAGCAGCUUUCUGCUACAGUACCAAGUUGGGGAGCACUUCCACCCUGAAUACCUAAUCUUGUUUACUUCAUCUUGGGGGUUUUCAUCCUGACAUUCCCUAUUCCUAUACCUUUGUCCUAGACUGGGACCUUUGCCCCACUUUACCGAAUCUUGUUUACCCAAACUCGGGUGUGUACAGCCUAUGGGUUUCUAAUUCUUUAUGCCUUGUUAACCAAUCAGUGCUGGCUCAGGGAAUUCCUAAGCUUAUUCCCCACACACCUCAAAUAGUUCCUAACAUUUGCUUGCUAAUUCCUCCAAUUGCUUUUGAAGUUUUAGUCCCGGAUGUUCCAACUUGAGUGCUCUGGGUGUGUGAUCUUGUCCUUUGGGCAGCAGCCUUCUGAAAUGAGAGAAAGGAUUUUUUUAAGCUUCUCUUGGAGGAUUUUAUGAGUAGAGUCAAUCUAAACUGGG
rnacentral:lncRNA from 1 species